rnacentral:rRNA from 2 species
GAACUCUGGUAUUGAUUGGUGCUUGCAUCAUGAUUUACAUUUGAGUGAGUGGCGAACUGGUGAGUAACACGUGGGAAACCUGCCCAGAAGCGGGGGAUAACACCUGGAAACAGAUGCUAAUACCGCAUAACAACUUGGACCGCAUGGUCCGAGUUUGAAAGAUGGCUUCGGCUAUCACUUUUGGAUGGUCCCGCGGCGUAUUAGCUAGAUGGUGAGGUAACGGCUCACCAUGGCAAUGAUACGUAGCCGACCUGAGAGGGUAAUCGGCCACAUUGGGACUGAGACACGGCCCAAACUCCUACGGGAGGCAGCAGUAGGGAAUCUUCCACAAUGGACGAAAGUCUGAUGGAGCAACGCCGCGUGAGUGAAGAAGGGUUUCGGCUCGUAAAACUCUGUUGUUAAAGAAGAACAUAUCUGAGAGUAACUGUUCAGGUAUUGACGGUAUUUAACCAGAAAGCCACGGCUAACUACGUGCCAGCAGCCGCGGUAAUACGUAGGUGGCAAGCGUUGUCCGGAUUUAUUGGGCGUAAAGCGAGCGCAGGCGGUUUUUUAAGUCUGAUGUGAAAGCCU